UACGUAGGGUGCGAGCGUUGCCCGGAUUUAUUGGGCGUAAAGCGCGUGUAGGCGGCUUUGCAAGUCGGGUGUGAAAGCCCUCAGCUCAACUGAGGAAGUGCGCCCGAAACUGCAGAGCUUGAGUGCCGGAGAGGGUGGCGGAAUUCCCCAAGUAGAGGUGAAAUUCGUAGAUAUGGGGAGGAACACCGGUGGCGAAGGCGGGUCUCUGGACAGUUCCUGACGCUGAGGCACGAAGGCCAGGGGAGCAAACGGG
rnacentral:rRNA from 1 species